GGGGAAUUUUCCGCAAUGGGCGAAAGCCUGACGGAGCAAUACCGCGUGAGGGAGGAAGGCUUUUGGGUUGUAAACCUCUUUUCUCAAGGAAGAAGUUCUGACGGUACUUGAGGAAUCAGCAUCGGCUAACUCCGUGCCAGCAGCCGCGGUAAUACGGAGGAUGCAAGCGUUAUCCGGAAUGAUUGGGCGUAAAGCGUCCGCAGGUGGUAAUGCAAGUCUACUGUUAAAGAGUGAAGCUUAACUUCAUAAAGGCGGUGGAAACUGCAUAACUAGAGUACGUUCGGGGCAGAGGGAAUUCCUGGUGUAGCGGUGAAAUGCGUAGAUAUCAGGAAGAACACCGGUGGCGAAAGCGCUCUGCUAGGCCGUAACUGACACUGAGGGACGAAAGCUAAGGGAGCGAAAGGGAUUAGAUACCCCUGUAGUCA
rnacentral:rRNA from 1 species